UGCGCUGGCAGGCCUAACACAUGCAAGUCGAGCGGCAGCGGAAAGUAGCUUGCUACUUUGCCGGCGAGCGGCGGACGGGUGAGUAAUGUCUGGGAAACUGCCUGAUGGAGGGGGAUAACUACUGGAAACGGUAGCUAAUACCGCAUAAUGUCGCAAGACCAAAGAGGGGGACCUUCGGGCCUCUUGCCAUCAGAUGUGCCCAGAUGGGAUUAGCUGGUAGGUGGGGUAACGGCUCACCUAGGCGACGAUCCCUAGCUGGUCUGAGAGGAUGACCAGCCACACUGGAACUGAGACACGGUCCAGACUCCUACGGGAGGCAGCAGUGGGGAAUAUUGCACAAUG
rnacentral:rRNA from 1 species